rnacentral:rRNA from 1 species
GAUGAACGCUGGCGGCGUGCCUAAUACAUGCAAGUCGAGCGAACAGAUGAGGAGCUUGCUCCUCUGACGUUAGCGGCGGACGGGUGAGUAACACGUGGAUAACCUACCUAUAAGACUGGGAUAACUUGGGAAACCGGAGCUAAUACCGGAUAAUAUAUUGAACCGCAUGGUUCAAUAGUGAAAGACGGUUUUGCUGUCACUUAUAGAUGGAUCCGCGCCGCAUUAGCUAGUUGGUAAGGUAACGGCUUACCAAGGCGACGAUGCGUAGCCGACCUGAGAGGGUGAUCGGCCACACUGGAACUGAGACACGGUCCAGACUCCUACGGGAGGCAGCAGUAGGGAAUCUUCCGCAAUGGGCGAAAGCCUGACGGAGCAACGCCGCGUGAGUGAUGAAGGUCUUCGGAUCGUAAAACUCUGUUAUUAGGGAAGAACAAAUGUGUAAGUAACUAUGCACGUCUUGACGGUACCUAAUCAGAAAGCCACGGCUAACUACGUG